UAGUAUGGGGAUCUGCCCGAUAGAGGGGGAUAACUACUGGAAACGGUGGCUAAUACCGCAUAAUGUCUACGGACCAAAGCAGGGGCUCUUCGGACCUUGCACUAUCGGAUGAACCCAUAUGGGAUUAGCUAGUAGGUGGGGUAAAGGCUCACCUAGGCGACGAUCUCUAGCUGGUCUGAGAGGAUGAUCAGCCACACUGAGACUGAGACACGGCCCAG
rnacentral:rRNA from 1 species